GACGAACGCUGGUGGCGUGCUUAACACAUGCAAGUCGAACGGAAAGGCCCUGCUUUUGUGGGGUGCUCGAGUGGCGAACGGGUGAGUAACACGUGAGUAACCUGCCCUUGACUUUGGGAUAACUUCAGGAAACUGGGGCUAAUACCGGAUAGGAGCUCCUGCUGCAUGGUGGGGGUUGGAAAGUUUCGGCGGUUGGGGAUGGACUCGCGGCUUAUCAGCUUGUUGGUGGGGUAGUGGCUUACCAAGGCUUUGACGGGUAGCCGGCCUGAGAGGGUGACCGGCCACAUUGGGACUGAGAUACGGCCCAGACUCCUACGGGAGGCAGCAGUGGGGAAUAUUGCACAAUGGGCGGAAGCCUGAUGCAGCAACGCCGCGUGCGGGAUGACGGCCUUCGGGUUGUAAACCGCUUUCGCCUGUGACGAAGCGUGAGUGACGGUAAUGGGUAAAGAAGCACCGGCUAACUACGUGCCAGCAGCCGCGGUGAUACGUAGGGUGCGAGCGUUGUCCGGAUUUAUUGGGCGUAAAGGGCUCGUAGGUGGUUGAUCGCGUCGGAAGUGUAAUCUUGGGGCUUAACCCUGAGCGUGCUUUCGAUACGGGUUGACUUGAGGAAGGUAGGGGAGAAUGGAAUUCCUGGUGGAGCGGUGGAAUGCGCAGAUAUCAGGAGGAACACCAGUGGCGAAGGCGGUUCUCUGGGCCUUUCCUGACGCUGAGGAGCGAAAGCGUGGGGAGCGAACAGGCUUAGAUACCCUGGUAGUCCACGCUGUAAACGGUGGGUACUAGGUGUGGGGUCCAUUCCACGGGUUCCGUGCCGUAGCUAACGCUUUAAGUACCCCGCCUGGGGAGUACGGCCGCAAGGCUAAAACUCAAAGGAAUUGACGGGGCCCCGCACAAGCGGCGGAGCAUGCGGAUUAAUUCGAUGCAACGCGUAGAACCUUACCUGGGUUUGACAUGGAUCGGGAGUGCUCAGAGAUGGGUGUGCCUCUUUUGGGGUCGGUUCACAGGUGGUGCAUGGCUGUCGUCAGCUCGUGUCGUGAGAUGUUGGGUUAAGUCCCGCAACGAGCGCAACCCUUGUUCACUGUUGCCAGCACGUUAUGGUGGGGACUCAGUGGAGACCGCCAGGGUCAACUCGGAGGAAGGUGGGGAUGACGUCAAGUCAUCAUGCCCCUUAUGUCCAGGGCUUCACGCAUGCUACAAUGGCUGGUACAGAGAGUGGCGAGCCUGUGAGGGUGAGCGAAUCUCGGAAAGCCGGUCUCAGUUCGGAUUGGGGUCUGCAACUCGACCUCAUGAAGUCGGAGUCGCUAGUAAUCGCAGAUCAGCAACGCUGCGGUGAAUACGUUCCCGGGGCU
rnacentral:rRNA from 1 species